ACUAACAUGGUCUGAUAAACAUCUACCAGGUAACUACUAGUGACACUAACAUGGUCUGAUAAACAUCUACCAGUUAACUACUAGACUACUAGUGACAGUAACAUGGUCUGAUAAACAUCUACCAGGUAACUACUAGACUACUAGUGACUAACAUGGUCUGCUAAACAUCUACCAGGUA